AGCACAACUCAUACGAUAGGUAGGUUUCGAGAUUAGCUAGGUUUUGUGCAGUAAUUCAAUUAGGAACUGUACUUCUCGUGGGGGAGGUAAACUAAGAAGUUUGAUGGGAAAAACAUCCAGAAAGUUGUAAACGAUCAGUAUGGAACACACAAUAGGAUUAGCACCCAUAUUCUUGUUUAUUCAAUUUUUAGGAAAAAUAACAAUAAAUUUUAUUUAUUUUUUGGGGACUGUAAAGUUACAAUUUUACUUUC
rnacentral:lncRNA from 1 species